UCCUAGUUAUGCUAGGCAGUCUUCUGUGAAAAAUACAACACAGAACAAGGGUUGCGCUCGUUUACGGACUUAACCGAACACCUCAAGGCACGAGCUGACGACAACCAUGCAGCACCUGUCAUUCCGUUCCUUACGGCACUCCUCUGUUUCCAGAAGAUUCGGAAGAUGUCAAGCCUUGGUAAGGUUCCUCGUUUACUGUCGAAUUAAACCACAUGCUCCACCGCUUGUGUGGGUCCCCGUCUAUUCCUUUAUGUUUUAGCCUUGCGGCCGUACUCCACAGGCGGAUCACUUAUCGUGUUAACUUAGGCACUGGGAGGGUCGAACUCCCAACACCGAGUGAUCAUCGUUUACGGCGUGGACUAC
rnacentral:misc_RNA from 1 species